GAAACCCAGUGUGUUUCGACACACUAUCAUGUCAUGAAUACAUAGUGGCAUGAGGCGAACCGGGGGAACUGAAACAUCUAAGUACCCCGAGGAAAAGAAAUCAACCGAGAUUCCCCCAGUAGCGGCGAGCGAACGGGGAGGAGCCCAGAACCUGAAUCGGCUUGUGUGUUAGUGGAAGCGUCUGGAAAGUCGCGCAGCAAAGGGUGAUAGCCCCGUACACUAAAAUGCACAGGUCGUGAGUUCGAUGAGUAGGGCGGGACACGUGACAUCCUGUCUGAAUAUGGGGGGACCAUCCUCCAAGGCUAAAUACUCCUGACUGACCGAUAGUGAACCAGUACCGUGAGGGAAAGGCGAAAAGAACCCCGGCGAGGGGAGUGAAAUAGAACCUGAAACCGUGUACGUACAAGCAGUGGGAGCACCUUCGUGGUGUGACUGCGUACCUUUUGUAUAAUGGGUCAGCGACUUAUAUUUUGUAGCAAGGUUAACCGUAUAGGGGAGCCGUAGGGAAACCGAGUCUUAACUGGGCGAAUAGUUGCAAGGUAUAGACCCGAAACCCGGUGAUCUAGCCAUGGGCAGGUUGAAGGUUGGGUAACACUAACUGGAGGACCGAACCGACUAAUGUUGAAAAAUUAGCGGAUGACUUGUGGCUGGGGGUGAAAGGCCAAUCAAACCGGGAGAUAGCUGGUUCUCCCCGAAAGCUAUUUAGGUAGCGCCUCGUGAACUCAUCUUCGGGGGUAGAGCACUGUUUCGGCUAGGGGGCCAUCCCGGCUUACCAAACCGAUGCAAACUCCGAAUACCGAAGAAUGUUAUCACGGG
rnacentral:rRNA from 1 species